UACAGAGGGUGCGAGCGUUAAUCGGAAUUACUGGGCGUAAAGCGCGCGUAGGCGGCUUUGCAAGUCGGGUGUGAAAUCCCCAGGCUUAACCUGGGAACUGCAUUCGAGACUGCAUUGCUAGAGUAUGGGAGAGGGAAGUGGAAUUUCCGGUGUAGCGGUGAAAUGCGUAGAUAUCGAGAGGAACACCUGCGGCGAAGGCGGGUUGCUGGGCUGAUACUGACGCUGAGGCGCGAAAGCCAGGGGAGCGAACGGG
rnacentral:rRNA from 1 species